GACGAACGCUGGCGGCGUGCUUAACACAUGCAAGUCGAACGAAGUGGCGAACGGGUGAGUAACGCGUAAUCAACCUGCCCUUCAGAGGGGGACAACAGUUGGAAACGACUGCUAAUACCGCAUACUGAAGGUGGGGAUUGCGUCGGAUUAGCUAGUUGGAGGGGUAACGGCCCACCAAGGCGAUGAUGAGUAGCCGGUCUGGGGGGGUGAACGGCCCACUUGGGAAUUGAGCAAGGGCCAGGCUCCCAAGGGAGGCAACAGUGGGGAAUCUUCCGCAAUGGACGAAAGUCUUACGGAGCAACGCCCCGUGGUUGAUGACGGGCUUCGGGUUGUAAAGCUCUGUUAAUCGGGACGCGGUACCGGAAUAGAAAGCCACGGCUAACUACGUGCCAGCAGCCGCGGUAAUAC
rnacentral:rRNA from 1 species